GGUGACUUCAAGGCAGUCCCAAGAGACAGAGAGCAAGGGAGCCAGGGGAACUGGGUACCAGGACACACAGCGAACACCUGCCCUGGCCGGAGGAGGAAGUUAACCCCAGACAAUGAGAGGCACGUUUGAGAAGGAGGAACCAGAUUGAAGGACUUUACAGGAGAGCUGGUACACAAGGGCCUUCAUCAAGCUGCUGUCUCCCCUGGAGGAAGACCUUAGGGCCCUUUCCAGAGUGGAGGAGGGUUUUGUCACAGCAGUGAGGAAGUAAGCCAUGCAGUUUCCAUCUGCAGCUGUCGCUGUGAUCCUGUUUGAGCUGGCCGCUUUGUGUCUCUCCGUACUGUGACUGGCUCACACCACAUCCGGUUUCGUGUCUGGAUUAUACGCUGUCCCUCCUAUGAGCUCCUGCGUGCAUAGGGUCUGGGUGUGGAUGCCUUUGCCCCUUAAGAACUGGACCCUGGGCUUGGUGCGGGCAGCCACACUCCUUCCAGGAUGCCUUCCUCUUUGGCUGUGGAGUGGCUAAAAUAAAUGCAGCUCAGAGGAGGCUCGGGGGUAGUUUUUUUUUUUUUUAAU